CAGGCGUCUUUCACCAGAGGACUUGCGGGCACUGUUAGCAAACUCACACAAGCGAAAAAGGACCUUUCUUUGCUUACACAGCAUCCUCCGUGGUGAGCUGGAGAGAAGUGUUCUCAGCAGGGAGGGUCGCCCUCACCAAGAAGCCAAAGGGAAGAGGACGGAAUAUAUCUUGUAGGGACGCCCUUGGACUUCAGAAGGAACACUUUUUAUUUUCUGUUUCACAGCGAUCUGUGGAAUGUGGGGGUUCCCUGUAGAGGUGGGCGGACCCCCAGGGUCGUGCGUUUUCUCAGCCCUGGGCCUCCUAUUGGAGCUCGAUCCUUCCAGCGCUCAGGGUCAGAAAUGCUGCGAUUCCAGACUCUUUCCCCCGCUCCUCAGAGUGGAGCCGGCCGGCAGACGCUGGUCAUUAGGAGGCAACGUAAUUAACAACGAAUGUUUCCCCUUGGCGCCAAUGCGAACACCCUGGGGAGCUGCCAAGUCUGGCGCGGGAAUCGCAGCGGGGGGUGUCUCGGGAAGCCAGUGUGGGCGGGCGCGGGGGGCCUGGGAUUGCUUGUGGGCGCAGCCAGCAAGGAGGGUGAGGUCGAGAGGGGCAGAGGUCAGAGACCGUGCUGAGCUGCUGGCCUUUUCACGUUUCGGACCCAGAGAAUAUGUCUGCUGCAUUACAAAUGAGCUUCUCCGGCAUCUGACCAACCCUCACAAGGGCCACUGGCCGUCUUAUGCCCAACAGGACAAUGCUUAUUUCCACCAGGAGAUGGCGUGUGACUUUUUUUUUUUUUUUUUUUUUUUAAUCCCCAGGAAGGUCUCAGUGCUGCCAGAAACUACAUGACCAUUCCGCUUCUAAACUGAUGGAUCCAACAGGUAUUUUCAGUGGUCAUGCUAGGAAAUACUUUUCUAAGGAUUUUACUUGGGUCCUUCUACAGCCAGCCCGUGGUCAGAGAACAGAAUGAGCAUACUGCAACCACUCACGGUGAACUGACUGGCAUACCCACAAAAAUCUCAUCUUUAGGGUCCCCCACUACCUAGUGGAUUGUCUUGCACGCUGCAGGUGCUCAUUAAGUGUUUGCUAAAGACCUGACCCUGGAUAAGUCACUUGACCUCAAUUAGUCUGUUUCCCAAAUCUGAAAAAAAGUGGAGGGAGAUGGACAAGGUGACGGAAGAGCCUCUGACAACAAGACAAAUACCUUUCUGGAGGCCACUAACUGCUGAGUCCCAGAUUGUCAAUCCACAAAGAUUUCAUCGAAAAUUAAAGAGAAAAUGAAAACCACUCAAACUGUCAAAGGCCUAUGAUGAUAGGCCUUUAAGGAAAUAAAACAUGCAAGAAAAUAUUGCAGUAACCCAGGAAAAAUGAAAAGCAUCAAAAACAGACUGCUCACUGGGACACGAGUUACAUGCCUGGCCUCAAGGAGCUUCAGAAGCAGAGGCUCAUGGACUGGGCAAAACCAGAGUGGGCCUCUAUUCAGACCUUUCCUGAUUUUCAGGAUUUGUACCAACACCCACCUUAAUGCCUCAAAGGUAAGGGUCAGUGUAGUAAAUGAAUCUAUUUCUCUAGGCUCUCCUCCUUACUAGGCCCCUCAGUCUUGGUGAGGUGUUGGUCACACUCACCACUCCUACUUGUUCCUUUCACAGCACCGAGCUCUGGGGGCCUCUCUGCCAGAGCAACUCUGAUACAGAAUGGGCAAGUACAUCUUUGCUGUGCUGGUGGCACUGUGUAAUUGCUGGAAACAGGCAGUCAUGGGGUUGUGAUCAAAUCCAGGUACCGUCACUCAUAUGUUCAAUGACCUUGGUCUUAAUUCCUCUCUACUUCAGUUUCCUCAUUUGUAAAUGGAUAUAAAAUUGGUAGCUACCUCAAAGUUCUUGUGAAAAUUAAAUGAGAUAAUACUGAUAUAAAAAAUUUAAUACAGUGCUUGACACAUAGAAUGUACACAAUGGGUAUUAACGGCCAUUAUUAUCAUUGUUACUAUUACUUUGUUGUUGCAUAUCUGUCCCACAUCCUUACUCCCCAGAACCGUUCCCCAAGACUGAGAUGCAAUGUCGCUCUUGGGUCAGGAGCUGUGGAAGUAGGAAAACAUCAGGCAACUAGGCCUAGACUUAUCAUCAUCACAGAAGGAAUUUCAUUGUAAGUCUGAGGAUACCACCGGGGACUUACCUUUUG